AAGACUCUCCAAAUAUAAUCCAGGCUUGUCAUUGAAGCAUGAAUAAUUAGCGUAAAAGAAAACAUAUCCCGCGAUGUAAACAUCACUCUUAUCAUCAUAUUUUGAUCGGAACUCCUCAACUUGUCCUUCCACCACAGGGAAUUUAAGGUCAAACGUUGUAAGGACAGGCUUGAACCCUCCGUUUGUUGUAUUUUUGGGUUCUUUAAAAGGGGUGGGAGAGACUUCAAGUAUAAGUAUGGAUGGCCCGUAGAAAAGUGGUAGAGGGUUUUCUUUAAAGAGCAAGUUAGCUAAGGAGGACUCAGUAGCUUUGUAUAAAUGAGUAUAGUUAUGGUAUACAUGUAUUUGGUAAAACAAUUGGUAUAUAUGAGACAGAUCAGACAUUGUAGCGAGACGAACUCUUGUAUAUAUCUUUCGAGUGAUGGUAACGUUAUUGUUUUCCGAUGAUGCAUCGGUGAUUAUUGUUUCACAUGGAGUAAGAAGUUGAAGAGCAGGAGCCAUGGGAUAUUAUAUUGUUUAGUUAAGUUUGAUCGAGGAAUAUUGAGGUUUAAGAUAAAAGAAAUGUUGAAAGGUUUAGUAAUGGGAUAAUAUUGUGUUUGGGAUCAUAAUGGUUAUUUAUAGUGAAGAAUUUGACCCUUUUUAAAAUUUGGAAUUUGCUCCGAUUCCCUCUAUUUUAUUUUCAAAUUUAGUAAAAAAAAAUAUUUCCUACAAAUUUUAAAAUCCAUUAAUUUGUAUAUUUUCCAGCUAGACAUGGAGAGUUUAAUUUUCUGUUUUUAGCCUUUUAUAGGAGAGAUUGACGUGAUGUAUUUUGGAGGUAAGGUUUGGUCCCCUCGUGUUCCACCUUUUUGAUGGAAUACAACACAUUUAAAAUUAUAGAAUAUGAAUCUAACAAGAUUUUUAUUUAACGUGACAAAUAAUAACCCUCAAAACAUUUGCCGGUAAAAGAAUAUUUUCUUUUAUUUCACGGAAAAAAAGAAGAAGAUAAAAGAAUAUUCUUAAAAACAUACUUCUUUCUUUUUCCCCUUCAAAAUACAUAUGUAGCCACACUUUCUCCUUUUAACCUUGUGAUAAUUUUGGUAUUUUAUAUUUGUAAUUUUGAUAAUCUCUAAAAAUUAUUUUUUAUUUCUUGUUCUUUAUUUUUAGGUUUUUGUUCACAUUGAUAAUCUUAACUUCUUUUAUUUGUUUUCAUUUCUCAACACAUAGUAUUUCAAAGACAAAAUUUACUGUCAUUUAGAUAUGUACUUGACAAAAUUUUGGAGAAAACAUAAUGGAGAGGAGGUGGAGAUGAUUUUUCCAACGAUAAAAAAUUCUGGUAAUCAUCAUUUCAAAAGUGAUUUCUAAAGAGUUAAGUCAUUCAUAUAAUUGGUUUGAGUUAUCCAUCAAAAUUUGGCCACCAUUUUUUAUGUAGUUGAUAGUAUUAACUAUUCUUCUCAUAAUUUUUACAUGAUAUUAUAUUAUUUUUAGUUAGUUCCAAAAGAAAAUGACGCAUUGUAAAAGUAACUAAUGUUAUCAAUAUUUUAGUUAUGUUGAGUUUCAUUUAUGGGUAAAAAAAAACCAUAGAAGGGUACCCUUCUUGAGGAGAUAGAUUCGGAACAUUGCAAAAUCAUCCCUUAUUUCUUAAGUUUCGUGUCCAUUAUCCAAUUAAACUAUGUCACAAAAAUUUGAACCGAGAAAAUACUCUUUAAUAAUUAAAAAAGAAAAGAACCAAGUGGGUUUAUAGGACCACGCAAAAUAUCAUAAACAUGUUAUAUAAACACUGUAGGAACAAACUGACAAUUUCUUAACAUAAAAAUGUUGACUUUUUCAUCAACUUCUUAUCGUACAAACUACAAAUGUAAACAUCUACGAAGGAACCGAUGAUUCAUCCCAAAAAAAAAAUGUUGACAAUUUUAGCAAUAUGGAUAAAAAUUCUAUGAAUUACAUAUGCGACUUGAGAUUAAAGUCAAAUAAUCAAGUCGUUAACAUUGUGGAACAUGCUUUAGAGAAAAAAUAUUUUCCUUUUAAAUGAACUUUAUCGUGAAUUUUCCAUGAUUCCGUAAGUGGAAAUUAAGUCGAUCACGCAAAUAAUUCAUGAAACAUGUGUUUCCCUAAAUGGAAAUUAAGUCCAUCACGCAAAUUUGUUGAAUGUUGUAAGACAAUGACAAUCCUAGUUAGGGCGUCUAUAGUACAGUUUAAUCAGUUAUUUUUCAAAAAUUUAUAUCAUAUUAAUUUUUGGUUAUUUUAUUUUGUAUGAUAAAAAUUAGACUUUGUGAGAUCGUCUCAUCAUAUCGAUUUUUCUAUAAUAUCGAUGUGGGUUCAAUAAUGUUCAGUAUAUUUAAAAAAAAACAUUUUUUAGAUAUUUUUUAAAAAAAAACUCUCUAGAUUAUAUUUUUUACUAUUUAAAAGGUGGUGAAUUUUGAAAAAUGAUAAUAAUAGUGAUGCACAACGGGAUAAAAUAUAUUCCUAAUAUCUUAUAACUCUCUACUCAAGAUCGUUAAUAACUUUUGUAGAUUUUACACAAAUUUCAUAGUGUUAACAGCUAAUUACAUCUUAUCCCUACUCUUUUUCAAAUUACAAAAAUCCCUUAAAUUUGGUGGAAUCCAGAUAUAUUCGAAACCAUCACGAUACACUGUGUCCUGGUUUCAAAUACAUCCCUGAUACAUCGCGUCUCAAUUUCAAAUACAUCACUCAACGUCAUGAUACAUCACGUAUGUCCCGAUAUAUCGCGUAAUGUAAUAUAUCCGAUUGAUACAUCACGUAAAGCAAUGUAUUCAACCAAUACGUCACAUAAAAUAAAAUUUUUUGUAAUUUUUUUAAAUGAUAAGAAUUUUAGAGAAUAUAGUAAAAUAAAUAUUGUGUUUAGGUAAUUUUUCCUUACUUGUAACCACUCAAGAUGUGAUGCAACUUAUAUUUGAUUUCAUCCUUCCAAUAAGGCCCAAAAUGAAAACUUUAAUUUAAUGCAUCAUUGGAUAUUAUUCCUCUGGUCAGUUUGUUUAGCACAAAUAUGAUUAGUCAUGACAAUAAACGUUGGAAACAAUAAUUAUCCAGGAAACACGUGUUUCUGUAAAUGGAAAUUAAGUCAAUCACGCAAAUUUGUUGAAUAUUUUAAGACAACGACAAUCCUAGUAGAAGUAUCUAUAAUACGAUUCAAUUAGUUAAUUAUUUUUUACAAAUUAUAAUUGUACAAAUUUUUAGUUAUAUUAUUUUGUGUAAUAAAAAUUAGACUUUGUAAUACCGUCUUAUCAUAUUGAUUUUUUUUCAUAUUAAUGUGGUUUCAUUAAUUUUUAGUAUUUUUCUUAAAACGUCAUGUAAGAAUCAGAAGUAAAAAUUAGAAUAGGAUAAUAUGUAAAUAUUCUUUCGUAAAAUUUCUGAAAAAAAUUCUAGGAUUCUUUUACUAGUUAAAAAAUUGUGAAUUAGAAAAACUUGAAAGAUGAAAAUAAGAUAUAUACCAAUUUGCUAUUCAAGAUCGUUAAUUAAUAACGUAUAAUUACUCUGCAAAAAGACUUGUCAAACUAAGCAAUAUGCCACUUGCCACGUACCUGGACUGUAAAAGAAAGUGAUUUGGAAGCAGGGCCUCUCGUUCAUUAUCAAAUCUAGGUGCAUUACUAAAAUAUUUUACUAUUUUAUCCUUAAUAUUUUUCUAAUUUUCAAAAUAUCUUUUUCAAAACAAAAUUUCUUUUAACUUAAUUCUCAUCACUCUAUAUUCGUUCUUUUUUUCUUUUUUAACAAAGAUAAUUUAAGUUUUUGCAAAACUAUUGAAUUAAGGUGUUUUAGCUAUUCCACGAAUAUGACUAUUUAUCAACAUUUUUUUUAUCAAAUACAACAAUUGUUUAUCAGUCGUUUUACCAUUUCUAUCCAAACAUGUUUAGUUAUAAGAUCGACUUCAUCACUUAAAAAAUGAUUUUCAACAUUUAAUAAUAUAAGAGAUCAUCUUUGCCAUUUUUGUUUUAUAGAAAGAUAUAAUUCUUUGUGAUAAAGUUUAAAAACAUAGAACCCAGGGAUUUAAUAUAAUAUCACAAUUACCAAUUUUAUUUUUUUUCAAAUUACAAAUAUAAUGAGCAUUCUGGUUUUACAAUAUUAUUACAAAUAGAUACUAAUAAAUUGCACAAUUAAGCACACAAAAAGCCAUUCUCUACUAACAGCUCCCUUCGCCGUUUUCGUCCUUGUUAUCAGCAUACUUUUGAAGAUUUUCACCAUGCAACUUUCCAUACCUGAAUUCAUCAAAAAUUUCAACUCCCAUAUUUAUGUAAAAAUCAUAUGACUUCUUAUUCCAAACUGCCACUAUUCCCUCUACCGAUACGAACCCAUUGUUGGCAGCAAUAGACGCAACUGUUCCAAACAACAAACUCCCCAUUCCCAACUUUCUAUAACUCUCCCUGAAGUAAAGACUCUCAAAAUAAAAUCCAGGCUUGUCAUAGAAGCACGAAUAAUUCGCGUAAAAGAAAGCAUAUCCCGCGAUGUAAACAUCACUCUUAUCGUUCCCAUCAUCAUAUUUGGAUCUGAAUUCCUCAACUUGUCCUUCCACCACAGGGAAUUUAAGGUCGAAGGUUUUAAGGACAGGCUUGAGCCCUUCAUUUGUGGUAUUUUUGGGUUCGUUAAAAGGGGUUGGAGAGACUUCAAGUAGAAGUACGGAUGGCCCGUAGAAAAGUGGAAGAGGAUUUUCUUUAAAGAGCAAGUUAGCUAAGGAGGACUCGGUAGCUUUGUAUAAAUGAGUAUAGUUAUGGUAUUCAUGGAUUUGGUAAAACAAUUGGUAUAUAUGAGACAGAUCAGAUUUCGUAGCCAGACGGACUCUUGUGUAUAUCUUUCCAGUGAUGGUAACGUUGUUGUUUUCCGAUGAAGCAUCGGUGGUUAUUGUUUCAGAUGGUGUAGGAAGUUGAGGAGCAGGAGCCAUGGGAUGUUGUUUAGUUAAGUUUGAGAAGAAUGAGGUUUUAGAUAAAAGAAAUGUUGAAAGGUUUAGUAAUGGGAUAAUAUGGUGUUUGGGAUCAUAUAUAAUGGUUAUUUAUAGUGGAGAAUUUGGUCCUUUGUUAAAAAAAAAACAUUAUUUCGUUAGUGAGGUUGGUGGAGUUGGUGCAAGUGGGAGUGGGUGCAAGAGAUGUUAUAGGUAGGGACCAUGCAAAAAAAAAUAUAGCAAAAAAGUCGAAAAUGUUAAAAUUGUAGGAACAAAUUGACAAUUCUUAACAUAAAAAAUUUUGACUUUGUAUGAACAAAGACUUUCACCAACUACUUAUCAUACAAAUGUUAACAUCUACGAAGAACCGAUGAUCCUUCCAAAAUCAAAUGUUGACAAUUUCAGCAAUAUGGCCAAUAGAAAAUUUAUGAGGUGUGAAAAUCAAAUGAAGUCGUCAACAUUGUCUAGCUCUAUAAUGCUUACCGAGAUGCAUGAAAGCUAAACAAGGAUAAUAUUCAUUCACACCAACCCAGACCGUCGUGAUUGGCACCCACACUAAUCCUCCGGUGGAAGAACCAUUACUACAACCCAACUAAGCAGCCUUGACCCAAAAUACUACACAUUUAAAGAUACGGAAGCAGGUUUGAAUGACUAUAUAAUUAAUACGGAGUCCCCAUAAACUCCGAAAGUUCAACUAACAUCUAACAACUAAUGCGGAAAUACCCCUAGAGCCUGAAAGUCAUUGUACCAAAACACUACUAACAACAAGGGGUACAACCCUGGAACUAAACAACACCUUAAACAACUAGUCUAAGUCCGAAAAGAGUGGACUUAAACAAGAAAGAUCCAUGGCAGCCUGAAAAAACUGGCUCACCCUUGAAUCCGGUCACGCUCAAUAGUCACCUAGCUGAGGUCUAUCAAUAGCCGCCUGAAGAUGCCAUGUACUCAACAAAGAACAAGCAAGUGCAGCAUCAGUACACAACCACAGUGUACUGGUAGGAUCACGCGGCUACCCCAAUAAGUGCAACAUAAGCAAGUAAUUACAACAUCAUAAACAUGCAUAUACCGAACAUAUACAAUAUCAGUCAUCUUAGCAGGAAACAUGUUCAAUUCCACAUUAUCAAUAGUAGGUAGAUACAAAAAUAUCAAUCACAAGUCAAUGGUCCUCUCAUGGAACCCACACCCAAACUGUUAGUGUAUCGAUACGUGGUACCUGAUCCAAUGUUUAUGUCGAAACGUGGCAAUCGAUCCCAUAUUUAUGCCGGAACGUGGCAACCGAUCCAAGUUAGUGUGUCGGAACGCAACACUCGAUCCAUUCAACUAGCCACAAUCAUAAUCACAAGUAUAUUCUCAAAUCAUACAAUCAAGUCAUGAUUCAUGACAUUCAUCAUUCAUCUAUCCUCAUUUAUAAUUAGUGUGAUGAAUAAUGCAACAUUCACAUACAUACAUGUAUUAUAAUGAAGCAAGAGCAAACAUACAUCACACAACAUGAAAUCACAACCAUCACCUACCUCGAAUCCAAGAUUGAAUCCCCUAAGUCACUUGAAUCUUCCCUUUCCGGAUUCUUUUACACUUAUUCUAGGUCUACAACAAUUAAUAUACAAAAGGAUCAACAAUCAAAGGUAUAAUUAUCCGGAUUAUAACAAACUCAAUAACCCAAGACCAAACCCGAUCCCAAUAUCCCAAAUUAGGGCUUUUUCCACCAUAAUUCUCAGAUCAAAACCUUCCCCCAACAAUAAUUACCCAAGAAACUACGUUCUACGGAUCGAAAUACGGAUUCGGGGAGUGAAAACCUUACCUUUAGCCUCAAGAAUGGUGGAAAACGCUCAAGAAAACACCUGGGGUCGUUCCUUUGCUCUCAAAGUCGAAAAGUGCAGAAUAAAACAUUUUUGGGGUUUAUUUCCGACUUAAGUCACGUCUGUCCUGCUAUGGUGGCCCAAGUCCCGCCACAGCGGCUCCGUGCUGGUGGGAAAAUCCCACCUCAGCGGCUUGCACGGAACAAUGAGCAAUUUUAAGAGUUUCAAAACCCCCUUUUCACAACACACCUUCAUCCCACAACUCUCAUAAAAUACCCGCUCGUGCUAAGACCAUUUUCGGAAGUUCUACUAGCCCGAAUUCAAUUCCGUAAAGUCGUACAGAUUCCUUAACGUCUUAGCUAUCUACUCAUAAGAUCAAAUUCACAAUUGGACCUUUCAUUUGCUACCAGAUUUCCCUAGACCUCAUUGACUCUGAUUUCGUCCAAAUCUGGACUAGACUAGAAAAUCUCAAAUUACUACGAAAAGAUUUUCUGGCCCCAAUUCCUUCCCCUAAUUUGGGUUUUCGAUUUUUAGAAAUAUUAUAUUAUUCCUAUUCCACAUUAAUUUGGUAUAAUUUGAUAGUUUAAAGUUCAAUUUCGAUAUUAAUAUAUAAUAGAUAAUUAUGUCUUUGAUUUUUAAAAGAACACCUUUAACUAUAUCAUACUACUAACUUAAAUGGCUAAACAUAUAAAAAUGUUCAAAAGAAAAUACAAAUAAUUUUCUUAUUAAUUAAUUACAAAAUUAAUAAAAUGCACAUACCAAAAUCAUAAUACCGUAUUUCUUGUAUUAAAAACUUUUAUUUCAAAUAUGGUAAUUUGAUAUCUAUCUACCCUGAAGAAUAAUAUAUAAUAUACCACAAUGCUAGCUGCAUCUCCAAUUAAUUAAGUAAAUAAGUAAAUCAUGGAGUUUAUAAAAUAAAUUAAGUACUAUUUUCUACAUCUCAAUAAUUAAUAAUUUAAAAGAUAAUAAAAUAAAUGAAAUAUGAUUAAAGAAUAAAUUAUUUGACUCUUCAAAUUUAAACAUCAUUAUUAAAUUGAAAAGAAAAUAAUAAUACCGUCUUGAUAUAGUCCAAUCUGUUUUUUUUCUCCCAAUCACAACACUCACUUUCGUUACAAAAUUUAUAAUAGACGAUAAAAUUUAGAGGUAGUUAUUACCUUUAUAUUUUUGGUGUGAGAAUUCUAAGCCUAUCAUUGGCGACAUGUCCUAAUAAUUAUUAGAUAAUUUACUGAAAUAUCACUCCAAAAUUAUUAGAUAAUUAAAUAUCACUCCAAAAUAAAAACAUUGGUGCAAAUGACAUCAACAAAUUAAAUUGGAUAAGGAUACACUUGAUAGAUGAGUAUGAACAUUAUUAUUCAUUACGUAACGAACCUUGGACUUUUCAAUAGGUUUUAAUUAAUAGAAAUUAUACUAUAGCUAUUUUUCUAAGUUUGGAGGUUUCCGUUAUUAGCUCGUAAAAAUAAGUACAACUAACGAAGCCUAAGAAUGGAGGAAAGAUGCAUAUCUAAUAUGGCAAGGGAGAAAACCCUGUGAUUUCCCAAAUAAUAUUUGUGCCAAAUAAAAUUAAAUCAUGAAUCACAGAGAUUAUGUUAUAUAUGAUAACCAAUUUAGAAUUAAUACAAAUGUAAUGAGCAUUCUGCUUUUACAAGAUUACAAAUAGAAAUGUAUGAAUUGAACUUUCAACAUAUAAAAGAAAAACACACUAACAACUUCCUUCUUCAUUUUUCUCCUUCUUAUCGGCAUACUUUUGAAGAUUUUCACCGUGCAAUUUUCCAUACCUAAACUCAUCAAAUAUUUCAACUCCCAUAUUUAUGUAAAAAUCAUAUGAUUUCUUGUUCCAAACUGCUACUAUUCCCUCUACCGAUACGAACCCAUUGUUUGCAGCAAUAGAUGCAACUGUUCCAAACAACAAACUCCCCAUUCCCAACUUUCUAUAACUCUCUCUGAAGUAAAGACUCUCAAAAUAAAAUCCAGGCUUGUCAUAGAAGCAUGAAUAAUUAGCGUAAAAGAAAGCAUAUCCCGCUAUGUAAGCAUCACUCUUAUCAUCAUAUUUGGACCUGAACUCCUCAACUUGUCCUUCAACGACAGGGAAUUUAAGGUCGAACGUUGUAAGGACAGGCUUGAACCCUUUGUCCGUGGUAUUUUUGGGUUCGUUAAAAGGGGUUGGAGAGACUUCGAGUAGAAGUACGGAUGGACCGUAGAAAAGUGGAAGAGGGUUUUCUUUAAAGAGCAAGUUAGCUAAGGAGGACUCAGUAGCUUUGUAUAAAUGAGUAUAGUUAUGAUAUUCAUGGAUUUGGUAAAACAAUUGGUAUAUAUGAGAUAGAUCAGAUUUCGUAGCAAGACGAACUCGUGUGUAUAUCUUUCCAGUGAUGGUAACGUUGUUGUUUUCCGAUGAUGAGUUGGUGGUAAUUAUUGCUUCAGAUUGUUGAAGAGCAGGAGCCAUAGUUGUUUAAGGCGAAAGGAGUGAGAUGAAGUAUUUUAGUAAUGGGAUAUUUAUUGUAUGAUGAAAAGAUAUUAGGAUAACAACAUAUUUAUAGUGGAGAAUUUUGUCCCUUUAAAUUUUUUAUAAUUGUUUAUUUGGUUGGUGGACGUCAACUGAAACGUACGUGUUAGAUAAAAGGGUCAGGCAAGUUGCAUCUGAUGAAAUUUCUUUUCUUUUUCCUAUUAAAAUUUGGUGGGAGCCGUAAAUUAAAGUUGACUCAUCUUACAAAUGUAAUCAUUUUAUACUGUAAAAAAAACUAGAAUAAAAAUAUAUCUAAACUAAAUCAUUUAAAAUGGCAAUAAGCUGUUUUCUUUUUAUAAUUUUACCAUAAAAUAGAUACUUAUAUUUUAUGUUCUUUCAUCACUUUUACAGUUUUACUUACGUUAAAAACAUACUAUGAUAUUUCUUUUUUUUUUUUUAAAAAAAAUGAAUGUAAAAGUUCUCAUCUAACGAGAGGACUUUGUCAAAGUUGCCAGUUGCCACUUACGGCGUAACUUCUUAAAGAAAAAUUGACUUUUCUUCCUCCACGUGGUAUAUACUGAGGUCGCAUCAUAAGUAAUUGAAAAUUUUAUUUCGAUGAUUUUGAUUUUUAAUUUUUUAAAAUUAUAUUCACAAUAAUUUAAUUUAAGUUUGAUUUUAAUAUUUUACAAUAUAAUUAUUUAUUCGAUUCACCUUACAUAUUAUAGAUGUAAGUUCAAUUAUAUAUACUUCAGUAUGAUAUGUGUUUUUAUAUAACUAUUAAAUACUGUAUCAAAUAUUAAAGAAAAUGAAAUUUAAUAUUAUACUUCUUCUAUUUUAAUUCGUUGGUCAUAUUUUUCUUUUUAAAUCUGUUUAAAAAAAAAUCUUUGAUUUUUUUUAUCACUCUUUAAUUUUAAUAUUCUACAUGAUAUAUUUUAGAUCGCAUAAUUAUUUUUUAAAAUAUAUUUGACAUAUCUUUAUUUAACACCAUAAAAUUCAAUUUUUUUUUAAUCUUUUACUCUUUCUUUUUAACUUUCUAUCAAAUUAAAACAUGAGAAACAAACUGAAACAAACACACGACCAAAUAUCACAAAUAUAAUAACAAAAUUGAGAUAUUAAAAUUUCAAUAUAAUAAUUAGAUAGCUAUUGUACCAUUUUCAUCCCAAUAUAAUAUUGAAGAAUGGCAUAUAAUAUUACCCUUAUUUAGAAGUGGCACUUCUAAAAGGGACCAAACACAGCAACAAAUACUUGUACAAAAAGUAAUAUUUAUUGUACCAUAAUUUGAUGUCAAGUCAUUGUCUUAUUGGUGAAUAGUACCACUUUUCCGGUAAUGUUAACACGUAUUGAGCCUUUGUUAUUUUCCUUUCUAGGCUGACACAUAUUUACUUUUAAAAUCCGGGUAAUUGGGUCAAUUUGGAUCAAUUUUGGGGAUUCCGUCUAAAUGAGGGGUAAUUUUGGUGAAAUUAGUAACGGGAGGGGUACGAUUAACUUCAUUUUAACGGCGAGGGUAAAGUCAAACAAUAAACCAAAGUUGGGGGGUAUUUUUGACCCCUUUCCCUUGAUUUUUUUCUCACAAAAUUUCAAAUAUCUCACUAUUUGCUUUUUAAAAAAUAAAUUUUCAAUUUUGGCUCGACUGGCUUUCAAAUCUCCUACUCUGAUUAUUCACACCUACACUAAUUUUAUUUACUUUCAAAUAUUUUACCAAUAUUUAGAAAUGACAGUUGUUGGGACGAACACAACAUUAAAAAAUUGUACCGAAAGCUAUCCAAAUUGAACACAACACUAAUUGGUUGUACGAACAGCAAUUUAAUUACAAGUGGGCUCCAUUUCAUUGCUAAUUGAGCUUUAUGGUCUUUUCUUUUCUCCUUAUAUAAAAGAGACACUUUCAAGUUUCAACAUGUUAGCUUAAUGUCAAAUAAUUUAAAAAUAAGGAUAUUUCAAUCAUUUAGGUCUAUGAAAAAGCUGAUGUAUGAAAACUACGUGUCUUUCUUCUAUAAAAGGUUAAGGGCAAAUUGGUCACUGAACCAUAUUAUAUGUGGCAACUUAAUAGCCUAAAGUCCUUUGUGUCCAUUAAUAUUGCUCCACCUGCUAGCCAACAUUUAAGUCAUCUCUGUCUUCUUUCUUUUCUCUCUUGACUAUUAGAAUUAGAAUUAGAAUAGUUGUUGCAAAAAUUCGAGGUUGUGAUGAUGAUUUUCUUCUUUGUUUUCUCCGAGAUUGAGAAAAUUGAUAGUGUAAGAGAGCAAUCGGACCCGUAUCUUGGUGGGGCAACCCGGAUGGAAGGUUAUCCUGCAACCGGUGCUUGCAGUUAUGGCGGUGAUUCCAAUCUCUCUUAUCGUAUUACAAAUCCGAGCUUCAAUGUUUAGAUUUCUUAGGGUCUAUUGAAAAUCGCCUCUUUACCUCCACAAGAUAGAGGUGAGACUACACUGACUUAUUGUUGUUGCAGUUGGAAAAUUCGCAGUUCAAAAAAAUACAACAGAAUUUCUCAUAAAAGUAGCCUUAAGAAUUCAACUACUUCAAUACCAUGCCAUAACAUGACAUUUUAAAUUAUUUGUGUGUUUGCAUGUUUUUGGGAUUUAAUUUUAAUUUUAAUUUUAUUGUUUUUGUUAUUUGUUGAAUCCAAAUAUGAUUCUUUUGAUAUUUGGAAUAGACACAUAACAGUGCUUUAGGUUUAAUCCAUCUCUCGCGUAUGGCAGUAUGUACCUUUUAGUAGACAGAAAGAGCAAACUCAAGUUGCACGGUAAGGUAAGUAUUCAUUUUCACUAUUAGCCUUUUGUUUCUUGGUUCAUUUUGUUGACCGGCUCUAUUCUUCCGAAAAUUUGUUUUGACAUUCAAAAAUCGACUUGACCAUGAAAUCAGUAGACAAUGAAGAAGAAACAGAGCAAGUAGUUUUAGAGCUCUUUAUGUGUGUCGUGGUGUUGUAUCAGGUAAAUUAUUAUAUCGUAUUUUUAUUAUCAUUUUUUGGUUAUCUCUAUUAUUUUUAUUUUUUAUUUUUUUUGGGUUCUACGUUGAGAUUUCUCUGCAUCCAAAGAAGACCCCAAUUCGAUUCUUCUAAUUCUAGGCAGAUUAGGUUGAUUUACUACAUUUGUAGAAUUUGACUCUUUGUUGAAUCCACUAAUUUGGGGGUUAAAAAUCUGGUAGCUCACUAGAUUUGCUUAACUGUUUAUUUACACAUAUUGCUCGAAUGUUAACCUGCUCCCUUUUUUCCUUCACUUUGCACUUUGAAAAUAUUUGUUGUCUAUGUCUUUUGCAUCUUUGUUGUUUCAAAUACAAGUAACUAACAACUAAUCAUUACUUUAUAAUUGUACAGGUAUUCCAUUUCAAGUUCAUAAGGAAGCUACAAGAGUCUAAUUUAUGAAUAGUUACCUUGUGUGUGAUGUUAAAGAGUGUAUUUUAGCAUUUUUAUCAAUAUAAAAAUGAAGUCAUGGACAUUGUUCCAAAAUGUCUAUGAAUUAUGUCUUGAGUUGCUUUUCAAGGAGUAAAGUGUGAGAAAGUAUUGUUUAAUGAAGAAGUUAAAUAGGUGCAAUUCAAUUUUGAGACCAAGUGUUGAGUUGGUCUUUCACAUUAAACUUGAGAAAAAAAAGGAACUAACUUCAGUAAAUGCAUAUUAGUACUAUAGGAUCUUACUCAUUCAUGAUGGCUUUCUUUUGUUACUUAAUUGUAAUUUUCCAAAACCUGUUUUGCUUGAACAGGGUUCAUCGUUUAGGGAAAUAUCAUAUUCGAAAAUAUUUUGCCACGAAUUGACAGGUUUGUUUAUUUGGUUCUUAUAAACUUUUGUAAAUUCUUCCAUACCUCCGUUUUACUUUUUAUUAUUGCGUGAAUCUGCGAAAGUUUUUGAUGUCUUUUAGUGCUAUGAAAGAAAGUCACUUUGAUAAUAGAAGUAUAGUAGGAUUUAUAAAUACUAGGAUUAGUCUAAUAACCUCUAGAAUUCAAAUUUUCGCUAAUGUUUGAGUAUAUUUAUAGUGAGGGACGUUCAUGUCACGAGUUUCAACUCUGACGUCGACCCAAAGUUGGGGAAAGUAUUUAAGUGGAAACAUAACGGAGGGGCAUGUGCAUACUCUUCAGUAUUUCUGAUGAACAAUGAGGUUUGACUAGCUAACUAGAAGGGAAUUUUUCAACUAUUAAAUAAGACUGAGUCUUUUCUCGACUAAAAGGAUGUCUUUUAGUUUUAAACCAUAUACUUCUAUUGUUUUCUCCUUAGAGUUGUUGACCUCAUCCAAUCCUUGUCAUUUUGAUCAAUGUAUUUUGUUCCGCUAGAUUGUUGGACAGAUUGCAGGAGAAACAACACAGUAAAUUGGAUAAUGAAGCUUAUUUGGAUGAGAAUCACAUGCUAUUUAAAAAUAUCCAGUUCCUUGUCGAAGUAUUGCACCCUCUACUCUAUUUUAUUUCGUAUGAAAUCUCUUCUAAUUGCUGAUUUCUACACUUCACAAUCGCACACAUGGGCACAUUGGAUGAUUCUUUUGACGAUCCUUCAUAAUGUGGCAUUUUUAUUCAAGUUGAAAGAAGAGGUAAAGAAGCUUCAAUCAAUCCAGCAAGCUAAAAAUGGCGUUGACAUAGUCUCUGAGAUAAGGGUGAAGACUCAUUAUGCUACACCAAUUGGUGCUGAUCAAAGAAUUGGCCAGUGCUUAUCUAGCAUCUUUAAUUAUUAUUCAUUCUUGUUAAUGAUGAGGUUUAGUUUUGAGGUUUAUUGAAAAAUCAAGGUAAGGUCUACCUACAUUCUACCUUGAUGAGAUCCCACUUGUGGGAUCAAACUAGGUAUGUUGUUGUUAUCGUCGUCAAAUUAGUAAUGUUUUGCUCCAUUUUUCAGAUUCUUAUAUUUGAAUUUGUGCAUAUGAUGUGUCUUUUACUGUAGUCUACAAAGGAGAUCGAAUUGCCACAUACUUUGUUAAGUGGUUGGGGAAGAGUACUAUUGGUUUGUCAUAUGGAUUGGCCCUGAGUGAGGCUUUGAUUGCACCUGCAAUGUCUAGCACUACGGCAAGAGCUGGUGGGGUAUUUUUGCCUAUUAUUAAGUCUCUCACUUUCAGCUGGAAGUAAGCGUGGUGAUCCCUCCUCCAGGAAGCUAGGAUCUUACUUGAUUCAAUCUCAAUUUCAGGUAUGCCUUUGUUUUGCCUGCUAUAGAUGUGUGGUGUGUCACAUAAUUAGAUGAUUUUAAUGAAAUGAAAACACUCUUUAUGGAUACAUGAAUUAGUACUAACCAAAUGAUCCUAUUAAUCAAGAAUUCAAUCUAUAUACACCAAUGGUGAAAAUAGGUUUUGAGCCAUUGAGGUAACAUUAAGUUUGUAACCUGGAAAAUAAGGUUAUUAGCAUGCUAAAAUAGGUUAAGCUAUUAAGUUAUAUCCAUAGGGUAAUUUUUGAGUGAUCUUUGUCUGAAGACUGAUAUUUAUCUUGAAUUUGCAACAGAAGACAUUAUGCAUUUGAUCAAGUAUUACUAUCUUUUCGGUUGUGCAUCUGUCUCUUUGAAGAAUACAUAACAUAAAUGGGGUAUGGAAUGAUGUCAGCUAUAUGAAGCUCUUAACCUGCAAAUUCAUUGCUGAGAACUCAAAUCUAUCUAGAAUUGCUUUAAUAGCUUCCAUAACUAAAAGGGAUAAAAAUGAAUUGUUUGGUUGUUGAAAAUAGCUUUUACCUGUCAGCACUUUAAUAAUUUUUUUUUUCUUUAAAAGCAAUGAAAAACAACUUUAUCACAUGUUGUUUUGUAUUUUUAAAUUAAAAUUAGCUAUAUGUUAAAAAUAGAUGUAAAAAAUAUGUGUGGAAAUAUAAUCCUCUAGCCUUUUGAUAUUCUCAACUCUCAAGUGUAUAAAAGAUCUUGAUUCUGGAGAAGAACAAAGGGGAUGUAGAGGCAUUUCGAUAUUGUUGUGGUGAUUCCGAACAUUUUCAACAUGUAGGUUGAAAAAUCUAAUGCGAAGUCUCUGCUGACCAAACUGUCUAGAAUAUAUGUGCAUUCUUCCUGCUUAUCGAGUUCUUGGUUACAUUGCUUGGCUGAUUAUCCCUUGUGCAAUAGACAUAAUAUAUAUGUUGAUAUUCUAUCUGUUGUUGUUAUAUAUAUAUAUAUAUAGAUAGAUAGAUAGAUAGAUAGAUAGAUAGAUAGAUAGAUAGAGAGAGAGAGGGAGAGGGAGAGGGAGAGGGAGAGGGAGAGGGAGAGGGAGAGGAAGAGGGGGAGGGAGAGAGAGAGGGAGAGAGGGGGAGAGAGAGAGGGAGGGAGAGGGAAAGGGAGGGAGAGGGAGAGGGGGAGAGAGAGAGGGAGGGAGGGAUGGAGGGAGGGAGGGAUGGAGGGAGGGAGGGAUGGAGGGAGGGAGGGAUGGAGGGAGGGAGGGAUGGAGGGAGGGAGGGAUGGAGGGAGGGAGGGAUGGAGGGAGGGAGGGAUGGAGGGAGGGAGGGAUGGAGGGAGGGAGGGAUGGAGGGAGGGAGGGAUGGAGGGAGGGAGGGAUGGAGGGAGGGAGGGAUGGAGGGAGGGAGGGAUGGAGGGAGGGAGGGAUGGAGGGAGGGAGGGAUGGAGGGAGGGAGGGAUGGAGGGAGGGAGGGAUGGAGGGAGGGAGGGAUGGAGGGAGGGAGGGAUGGAGGGAGGGAGGGAUGGAGGGAGGGAGGGAUGGAGGGAGGGAGGGAUGGAGGGAGGGAGGGAUGGAGGGAGGGAGGGAUGGAGGGAGGGAGGGAUGGAGGGAGGGAGGGAUGGAGGGAGGGAGGGAUGGAGGGAGGGAGGGAUGGAGGGAGGGAGGGAUGGAGGGAGGGAGGGAUGGAGGGAGGGAGGGAUGGAGGGAGGGAGGGAUGGAGGGAGGGAGGGAUGGAGGGAGGGAGGGAUGGAGGGAGGGAGGGAUGGAGGGAGGGAGGGAUGGAGGGAGGGAGGGAGAGGCUUCAAUAAAUUUUAACAUGUGUGCUUAUUUGUUGUUCAAUUGGAAAAUAAGGGUAGGUGUAUAAGCCAACUAAACCAGAGAGCACGUAGUGGAGGCCUAUGUUUCUAUCCCUUGCAAAAGCUAAGGAAUACAUGUAGUGGAGGCCUAUAUUUCUAUUCCCCGCAAAAGAUAAGGGAAACAUCUCUUAACUUGUUAGCAUGGACGCCGAUGUACUUGAAAAUAUGAUCUGCAAGGAGGCCAGAAAGAGAGAGUCGCUGCAAUUGCUUGCAUUGUUGCAAAUGGCCCCAAAACCAGCAUCAACUACAUGUAUUGCAAAUGACUUAAUACAGUAACUGCAUUUGUAAAAAAAUUGAGAAUAUCUCUUGUUAAAUUUUGCAUUUUUCUUUGUAGAUUACCCUUUUCCGAGUACUUGUGUCCUUAGAGGUGCAAAAAAGCUUUAAUCUUUGCAUCUGAAUGUGACAACCCUGAUUACCUAACCCUUGGACUGCUUGACACUGGUUUUGGGGCCAUCAUUCACCAUUGCAGGCAAUUGUGACGAUUUCCCCGUUCACGCCUCCACUACGUACUCCUCCAGUUGUGUAAGCCUUUGUAAUCUGGAGAGAAGAGACUGCCCCUUCAGCAACGAGUCUCUGUUGGUCAAUGUUGCAAAGCCGGACACGGUAGGAUAUCUUUAGAUGCCUUGUUGUUCAGUAAUUUAUGGAUCAGAAGUUACCAAGGGUUAAUGUGUGUAAUGUGUACUUUUGCUUUUCUUAAGUGUGUAGUGUGUACUGCUUUCUGUACACGUGUAGCACGAAUUUUAUGUCAAAAAAAAGAAGGAAAUAUCCCAAUUCAUAUUGACUCUCACACCUUCCGCUUUACUCUCCCUCUCUCCAUUGCAAUUUCCAUGGUAGUCAUUAGCGUGUGAAAUUCAACUUUGUACUCCCUUUUAAGAUAUUUUUGCUUAAUUAAUUUAACAAAAAAAUUUGCUCCCGUCAAUACUCUUAUGAAGCAAAUACACUCUUCUUCAACUGUCUAAGAAAUUCUAAUCAUUUGAUCAAUUUCAUUGUUCAUCCUUCUUAAAUUUUCUACUUCAAAUUUCAAGCUUUGCAAGUACUAAAAUGGGUGGACAGAACACACAAAAAAAUGACUUAGGCUUUUGACAUUUUAUUAGGAGCAAUCUCGAUGACAUUCAUACAAAUAGAGAAUCUGUGUUGAUCCUUAUUUCUGGUGCGUGUUUGUUCUAUUCUGGUGUGUUGCCUGGGCCUAUCUUAUUGGCCAUUAAACUUUUUGACCUCUCUUUCAAACUUUGUGAUUUGCAUCACUGAAAGAGGGAGAAAGAGUGUUGCUUCAGGCUUUAAAUGUCGUUUUUCCUUGCUGGUAAAGACGCUCUUUCUCCCUUGCUCUUUCAAUAAUGCGUCUGUCUGUUUUAAUUUGUAUAUUGUAACACCUUCUUGGUGCUUUCGGUUAUGAAUAUAUAUAUAUUCUUUGAAAUACUAAAAUCUAUUUCUGGCUAAUGUAAUGACUUUUUACAGAUAUCUGAUGCCAUCAACGUUUGGCAUUUUAACUUAAGACUAUCUACAUGUUGUAUCCCUAGAUAACUUUUUGCAUUCAUGUAUUUCUGCUGCAAAAUAGAUUCUAGGGUUAAGGUAACUAAUUUUCUAAUGGAUUUUAUAUGUAUCAUUUACCUAAUAUGGAUCUGAAAAGGGGGUUUAUGAGGAUAGAGUGUACGCAGACCUUACCUCUACCUCGAGUAGGUAGGAGACACCAGCUGAGAAAUGUUGUUUCCAACUACAUGGUAUGAAGCUACAAAUAAAGAGUUAAGUUUUAAGCUUCUAAUUAUCUCUACAUUUUUCUAAACAUUCUAACUUAUCUAAUUUUUUGCUUUCUUAUUUUAUAUUUUGUGUUAUAUGUGUACUUAUGACCCUUACAUAUGCCGUGUUUAUUAUGGUAUGUUUACUAUGCUUCAAUUAAAUUAAUAUUUUACCUCUUUGCCGUUCUCUUCUUUUGUUGCAGUGGUGUAAAGAAUAUAGUCAAGAGCGAAAGAAUUUAAUUACCUAAACUUGGUUUUUGUGAUUGUACUGUUGAAAAUAUAUUUAUAUGUAUAAUAGUAGAGUUAUUCAUUUAUUAAUCUCUCAAUAUACAUGCUCCAAUUUCUUGGAUAUGGAAGAAAAAUGGCAUUAGAAUGUACGAUUCUUUAGAAUAUGUAUUCACAAUAGUUCAAUCCUUUGAGCUGCAUGUUGAAUUUUUAGUCCACUGUCUUGGUGGUUCAAUAGCUAAUCCUUGGAAUUCAUCUGAUCCAUAAAUUUGAUUUGGGUAAUAACAUUAGUAUCAUAGUUUGGUAAUCUUUAUUUUUGCAAGUAUAUAGACAUUGUUAACAUAAAAAUGGACCCAUUUGAAUUGGUGGUAAGUGAGUGGAUAUCAAUAUUUUAAGAAAAAAUCAGAAAAUCACCCAAGAAUUAGAUCCAAAAUUGACAACACAUCUACCUCCAAUAGAAAUGAAAAUCAGGGGGAAAAGGGGUGAGAAAAAUAAGAAAAUCAAAAUCUGCAAAAUCAAAACAAAAGAGUGAGAAGAUUAAGAAAACUAAAAACUUAUAAGAAGAAAAGCAAAUAUUUUAAUCUGAAGACCAAAAGACUUACCAGUUUAAACCUUCUCUUGAAAGAGAUUGAAAGAGCUCUAAUUACCCUUAGCCUUAGAUCAGCCCAAAGCAAUCUCAAUUGCUCACACGUGGAAAUAAAAAGCCUUCACUUGUUAAUACCCAAUCAAAUUGAGCCACAAAGGGCCAAAAUUAUGAGGCCUUAUAGUACAACUUAAAAUGCUUUUGAUAUUAUAGUACAACUUGAAAUGCUUUUGCUACCAAACUCUGGAUUGAUUGUUAGAGGUGAACACUUUGCAUAUAAUAUAAAGAAAUAAUUAUUAUAUUAUACAGUUUUGUACAAUAAAUUUUUUAUUAUAGUCAUGUUGGGCCCGUGCGUUGCACGGGCAUCCCCAUCUAGUAAUAUACUACAUAUGCGAGUUGCAUUACCAAUAAAUUAAUACGUACUGAACACGUUUUAACUUUUCUAAAAUCAAAAUUUUAAAGUUUGGUUGUGCAUUUGAACAUAAUUUUUAAAUUUUUAAGAAUAAAAUUUAUAUAUUUGAACAUAAUUUUUAAAUUUUUAAGAAUAAAAUUUAUAUAUUUGAACAUAAUUUUUAAAUUUUUAAGAAUAAAAUUUAUAUAUUUGAACAUAAUUUUUAAAUUUUUAAGAAUAAAAUUUAUAUAUUUGAACAUAAUUUUUAAAUUUUUAAGAAUAAAAUUUAUAUAUUUGAACAUAAUUUUUAAAUUUUUAAGAAUAAAAUUUAUAUAUUUGAACAUAAUUUUUAAAUUUUUAAGAAUAAAAUUUAUAUAUUUGAACAUAAUUUUUAAAUUUUUAAGAAUAAAAUUUAUAUAUUUGAACAUAAUUUUUAAAUUUUUAAGAAUAAAAUUUAUAUAUUUGAACAUAAUUUUUAAAUUUUUAAGAAUAAAAUUUAUAUAUUUGAACAUAAUUUUUAAAUUUUUAAGAAUAAAAUUUAUAUAUUUGAACAUAAUUUUUAAAUUUUUAAGAAUAAAAUUUAUAUAUUUGAACAUAAUUUUUAAAUUUUUAAGAAUAAAAUUUAUAUAUUUGAACAUAAUUUUUAAAUUUUUAAGAAUAAAAUUUAUAUAUUUGAACAUAAUUUUUAAAUUUUUAAGAAUAAAAUUUAUAUAUUCAAAAAUUAUAUAAAAGAUAUUAUAAAUUACAAUAAUUAAUAUUUUAAAAUAUUUUUAAAAGGUAUAUAUAAAAUUAUGAUAAAAAAAUAUUGGAUAACUUGUGCAAAUCUCACUAAUUUAAUUAGAGUACCUAAAUUCAUAUUUUGGGUCUUAGAUAUAUGUAUCUGACUCUUCCAAAUACAUGUAUCAGAGAUACUUCCUUCGUUCCUUUUGGGCCUUAAUAAGGAGUGUUGUUUGACCUGUUAAUUCCAGAAUAAUUAACGUUCUGAGCAAAGUUUUUUAAAAAAAGAUGAUGAAUCCUUUCUUGAUUGUUUAGAUUGAUAACUAUUUUGGAUCAAAUAUUUUUAGUAUACCUGACAACUAAAAAGAAACAGAGGAAGUACAUGUAAGACAUAUACAUAUCAAUUAGUGUGUCUAAUUAAAAUAUCUAAUCGAAAAUCAUCAAUUAAUGACUCUAUAUAAUUAAAGGAUAUAACUGAAAAUCAUAAUUAAGAACGGUAUCUCAAAUUGAAUGAGUUUUUAUUUUCACCCUUAUUGAUCAUUUAAUUAAAAGCUAUGAAUUAAAAUAUUUUUAUCUAUAAUACAUAUAAAUUAAAAAACUUUUGUCUCGCUUGAUGUAAAUUAUAUAAGGGUUAAGUUACGGGCAUAAGUUUUGUAGUGUUUUUUUUUUUUAAUUUUGUUGUAAUAUUCAAAAAUUGAAGUUACAUCUUUUGGACAUAUUUUCUAAAUCUUUAUCAUUUUUAGAGAAAAUAUUUUGAUAAUUAGUAUAAAAUGGUAAAAUAUAUGUGUGAUUUUUUGUGUUUUGAUUUAUUUUUAAAAAAAUAAUUCAUUAUGUUCACUUAGCAUACAACACGACUUGUUAUGUUUUUUAUGUUAUAAUUUAUUAUGCUAUUCAUGAAUUCAUAACUUGUGAGUUAUUGCUCUCCCGUAUAUGACAUAACAAGGUAUGCAUGUCCUUUUCAAUAUAGCUUAUGCCAGAUAAGAACGAUAUUCAUUCUCACUGAUACGAACAUAUAAACUUAUAUCACAAUUUUGAUGUCAAAAAUAUAUUCAAACAUUUAUUUGUUAUUUAAAGUGUGAAAAAAAAUUAAUCUUUGAAAUAAAAAUUAAACAUCAUCCCAAAUUAAUGAAUUUAAGCAAACAAUUAAAUAAGAUAAGAAUAAAUUCAGUGACGGAUCCAGUGACUCAGACAUCAGCAAAAGGAGGCCCUCUUGACCUUUCACCUAAACCCGUGCCGGAAAGGCCCAAUGUCAAUUCCAAAAAAUAGAAAAGCUUCAAAAGGUGUCUUGGUACAGAUAAUCUGCAUCUUUAACGGACAUUGAUUAGAUCAUGAGUAUGCACAACAAAAUACUAUAGCUCUUUUUCUAUGUUUGGAGGUUUCUAUUAUUAUUAGCUCAGAAAAUAAUGUAAAAUGGAAGUAAUCGAAGAUUAAGAGCUUGUUUGGCCAUAAAUAUAUGUGGAAAAAAAAAUCUGAGAAUUAGUGUUUGACCAUAUAUAUAUUUAUCGUUACUUAACAAAUAUAUUUGACAAACAUCUCAAGUUCUAGAAAAAGAAAAUAGAAUUUUGGCUAAAUUCUAGUAUUUGGGAAUUUUAAAUUUUUAAAAUUGCUAAUAUUCUAUAAAUACCCAACAUUUAUAGUUUUGGACUAAAUUUCAUUCCUAGUUUGUUUAUAUACAUAUUUUAUUCAAUUUUAUCCGAGGUCGCUCUUUGAAGUCACUUCCAAUUACAAGUAAUAAUAGUAGUUUUCGAUAUACAAUCAGUGGUAUCGUUCUUGGGAAAAUCGUAUAUAAUAGCAAACUAUUAAUUCAAAUUAAAUGCUAUAAAUAUAGUUUGAUUUAAUUGUACCUCAUAGCAAAAUGUUGUUAUUUCACCUCUCUCCUGGUGAAUCUCGCUCGCCACUCUCGUUCUCUCCCUCGCCUCUCUCGUUUUUUAUACAAACGCAAGUGUAUAAAGUGUGUUUGUGUUUGUAUAAAGCGAGAGAAAAUUGUAUAUAUACAUUCCCCUCUCCCAGAUCUCGCUUGCCACUCUCCCAGAUCUCUCUCUCUCACUCGCCUCUCUCACUUUAUACAAAACGCAAAUGUAUAAAAUGCGUGAAAAUUGUAUAUAUACAUAUAUUUUCGUUCCCCUCUCCCAGAUCUCGCUCUCUCACUUGCCUCUCUCAUUUUAUAUAAAAACGCAAAUGUAUAAAAUGCGUGAAAAUUGUAUAUAUACAUAUAUUUUCGUUCCCCUCUCUCCCCUCUCCCAGAUCUCGCUCGCCACUCUCCCAGAUCUCGCUCUCUCACUCGCCUCUCUCACUUUAUACAAAAACGCAAAUGUAUAAAAUGCGUGAAAAUUGUAUAUAUACAUAUAUUUUCGUUUCCCUCUCUCCCCUCUCCCAGAUCUCGUUCGUCACUCUCCCAGAUCUCACUCUCUCACUCGCCUCUCUCACUUUAUACAAAAAACGCAAAUUGUAUAAAAUGCGUUUGUGUUUGUAUAAAGCGAGAGAAAAUUGUAUAUAUACAUAUAUUUUCGUUUCCCUCUCUCCCCUCUCCCAGAUCUCGUUCGUCACUCUCCCAGAUCUCACUCUCUCACUCGCCUCUCUCACUUUAUACAAUUGAUCUUUUUGUAUAUGUAUACCAAAGCAGAUUAUACAACUGCUUUCUUUUGUAUAUGUAUAACGAAAUAUACAUAUAUAUGUUUGCUAUGGAGCGCAAUUAUGCAAACUUUGCUAUAACAUACAAAUAUGAAUUUUGUGUUUGCUAUAUGUGAAAGUUGCUCAUAUUUCUUUUGUUUUUCUUUCCUCUUUUUUUCAAAUUCAUAUUAAUUAUGUUUGUUGCCAGAGAGAUGAUGUUAUUAUAUGAUAGUCAAUCUAAAAAUUUCAAAUACAAAUUUAAUACACACUGAUGAUGAGCAUCUACUUCUAAAAAAUUACAAAUACAUUAUGAUAAAUUGCACCUUCAAUAUGUAGAGAAUUUUUUUUUUUAACUAUCAGUUUCCUCCAUCAUUUUUGUCCUUGUUAUCAGCAUACUUUUGAAGAUUUUCACCAUGCAAUUUGCCAUAUCUAAACUCAUCAAAAAUUUCAACUCCCAUAUUUAUGUAAAAAUCAUAUGACUUCUUAUUCCAAACUGCUACUAUUCCCUCUACCGAUACGAACCCAUUGUUGGCAGCAAUAGAUGCAACUGUCCCAAACAACAAACUCCCCAUUCCCAACUUUCUAUAAAUCUCUCUGAAGUAAAGACUUUCAAAAUAAAAUCCAGGCUUGUCAUAAAAGCACGAAUAAUUCGCGUAAAAGAAAGCAUAUCCCGCUAUGUAAACAUCACUCUUAUCAUCAUAUUUUGAUUGGAACUCCUCAACUUGUCCUUCCACCACAGGGAAUUUAAGGUCGAACGUUGUAAGGACGGGCUUGAACCCUUCGUCCGUGGUAUUUUUAGGUUCGUUAAAAGGUGUUGGAGAGACUUCGAGUAGAAGUACAGAUGGCCCGUAGAAAAGUGGAAGAGGGUUUUCUUUAAAGAGCAAGUUAGCUAAGGAGGACUCGGUAGCUUUGUAUAAAUGAGUGUUCUUAUGGUAUGCAUGGAUUUGGUAAAAUAAUUGGUAUAUAUGAGACAGAUCGGAUUUCGUAGCGAGACGAAGUCUUGUGUAUAUCUUUCCGGUGAUGGUAAC
rnacentral:lncRNA from 1 species